rnacentral:rRNA from 1 species
ACUCUUCGGAGUUAGUGGCGGACGGGUGAGUAACACGUGGGAACGUGCCUUUAGGUUCGGAAUAACUCAGGGAAACUUGUGCUAAUACCGAAUGUGCCCUUCGGGGGAAAGAUUUAUCGCCUUUAGAGCGGCCCGCGUCUGAUUAGCUAGUUGGUGAGGUAAAGGCUCACCAAGGCGACGAUCAGUAGCUGGUCUGAGAGGAUGAUCAGCCACAUUGGGACUGAGACACGGCCCAAACUCCUACGGGAGGCAGCAGUGGGGAAUCUUGCGCAAUGGGCGAAAGCCUGACGCAGCCAUGCCGCGUGAAUGAUGAAGGUCUUAGGAUUGUAAAAUUCUUUCACCGGGGACGAUAAUGACGGUACCCGGAGAAGAAGCCCCGGCUAACUUCGUGCCAGCAGCCGCGGUAAUACGAAGGGGGCUAGCGUUGCUCGGAAUUACUGGGCGUAAAGGGAGCGUAGGCGGACAUUUAAGUCAGGGGUGAAAUCCCGGGGCUCAACCUCGGAAUUGCCUUUGAUACUGGGUGUCUUGAGUAUGAGAGAGGUGUGUGGAACUCCGAGUGUAGAGGUGAAAUUCGUAGAUAUUCGGAAGAACACCAGUGGCGAAGGCGACACACUGGCUCAUUACUGACGCUGAGGCUCGAAAGCGUGGGGAGCAAACAGGAUUAGAUACCCUGGUAGUCCACGCCGUAAACGAUGAUUGCUAGUUGUCGGGAUGCAUGCAUUUCGGUGACG